UUCAAUUUACCUUUUUAAUAAAGAAAAUACUAAAAAACUCAAUUUAUGGAGUUGUGUAGUAUAGUUGAUUAGGGGGCAAAGAAAUAUGCAGACGUUAUCGGUAGAGUUAAAGAACGCACCUACGGAUGCUUCUCAAGUCCGCUGCUCUGUA
rnacentral:sRNA from 17 species